CAGAGAGAGCAGAUGGGCAGUGUUGUCUACUAAUACGGGUACCACACUCAGUCGAUCAGCCACACGUCACUGAGCCUAGAGAAGCCCAGAGGCUCGGAAGUUAAACUGCCCACGUCUGGAAGCCACAGUGACAGCUCACCAGGCUGAGGUCUGUGAUCUGACAGCGUAGAGGACAGGAGAGGAGUUGAUGGUGUCACAAAGGAAAUGUUCUAAGCUCCUGGUCCGCUGGAGGCUGCUCCCUCAGCCAGCCUCUGCACCUGCAUGGACGAAUCUCAAUCCCUGGUCCAGGGGGCUGGAUGUGAUGGAGGGGAAAGGUUACAUCUGAAAUAGGGUAUAAGCAGCAGCCAGAAAUUAUAAAGGGGGCCCAGAGAACUUCCAUACAUAUUUAGAAGAUGACAUCUCACUCUGUGUAUCCUGCUAGGUUUGUUCUGUUGUAGGACAGACUCAAGAAGAACAGGCUUACUGGGAGUGACCUGGGUUCUAAUAGUCUGCGUGAGGACACUGAGUGAAGAUGGAGUAAGGAGAGGAGCGCCGCUCUUCAUCUAGGGCUUUAACGACAGACAGAGGCAGUGUGAGGAGGAGUUUGGAGGAGGCCACUGAGAGACACCGGGCUGCAUUCAUGAUGCUGACCUAAGACAGCAUUCAUGAUGAUAACCCGGGCUCCCAGGGCAUCAGUGCAUCCACUCAACGGAGUUUUACAAGAGAGCCAGAGCUCAGGCAGCACUGAGAAAAAACUUACGGCUUCUUAUACUUUAAGUCAAGGGAGACUUGGUUUUCAUGCCACGCACCCUGUGGCAGUCUGGGGAAGCCUACAGCUCUCUUUUCACAGUUCUUCAGUGUAUAAAAUAACGUGUAAGAUGACAAAGGAAAAUCAACCUUUACAUGUAAUAGGAAUUUAAAACAUGUGAUAUAGGGGUGAAGCCUCUAUUAAAUUACCACACUCUUGUCAACAA